rnacentral:misc_RNA from 1 species
AGUUCUCAAGCUUAUUUAGCUUUUUACAAGUUGAAUAAACUUGGAUUAUGGAAAUUGCUGGCUUGUUAAGAGCCAGCUUUUCUGAAAUAUAUUAGCAAGAAACUUACUGCUAAUCAUCAUUUGAUAUGAUAAUUUAUCUAUAUCAUUGAUCAUUAUGCGACUUGCUUCUAAUAAUGUUUCUUUUGGAACAACACUUUGAUUA